CUGGUCUGGUGCUGCUGCUGGGGCUGUCAGAGAGAGGGGGUGGGGGUCUGGGGGUGUGCGGGUCAGCGGCCGGCGCGCCCUCUAGCGGCGGAUGAGCGCAGCGCCGUUUGAGCCCUCUGACUCUCCGUACUGGAUGCUGCUGAUGAACCUGCUCCGCGCUGUUUAUCCGUAGCCCGUAGGCUCCCUCCGCGCGAGGAGAAAGGCGUUGGAUUACGAGCAGACAGGCGGGGAUGUUCGGCCCUUAGUCCCGCAGUGAGGAGCCGCUGAGCAGCAGCAUGGAGGUGUGGAGACUCCCGCAUCCGUCCUGCCCGUCCGCCGUUCAGCUCUUCAGGAGAUGAAGUAACGCCGUUCUGACCCAGAGGAAUCCGCGGCGGCUGCCCGGCAACCGAGCAUCCCCUCCCCGCCGCAGAUCAGCAGCAGACUCGGUGUUGUGUCUCCUCCAGCCCGCCGCUGCGGAUGGAGCUCUGAUUACCGGGCAGCUCCUCACUGAACCCCGGCGGGAGCAGCGCCGCUCAGCCGCGGGAUGAAGAGCAGAAACAAAGGGAUGCAGCGCUAGAGGGAGAGUCCGGGCUCGGUUCCGCGGGAAGGAAACUCCUCCAGGUAGUUCAGGACUGUCCCUUGGUGAGGCAGGGCAGGACAGGGCGAGGUGAGGAGGGGCCGCUGACCGGAUGCCCUUUGGGGCAGAAGCCGCAUGGCCUCGACCAUGAGCCGGCUGAUGCUGGGCCGGACGCUGGAGCGGAUCUGUAAGGCCGUGCUGCUGCUGUGUCUGGUGCACUUCCUCAUCAUGAUGAUCCUGUACUUCGACGUGUACAGCCAGCGCUUCGACAUCUUCAGCCGCUUCAACAACGGCCGCGGCGCCAACGCCUCCCGCGGACCCCACCACUACUACUACAACUACUCCAGACCCAACACCACCUUCCCCAGCUACCUGCCCGGCGCAGACCAGCUCCUACCCACCGCCAAGCCUGAGGCCAACCGCACACGCCCAACUCCAAAACCCAUCCCUCCCUGCCCUGAGGUGCCUCCUGGACUCGUGGGGCGUCUCCUGAUCGAGUUCAGCUCUCAGAUGACGAUGGAGAGGGUGCAGAGGGAGAACCCAAACGUGACGGAGGGGGGCAAGUACACGCCCACGGACUGUCGGCCCAAGCAGAAGGUCGCCAUCAUCAUCCCCUUCAGACACAGAGACCACCACCUGAAGUACUGGCUGCACUACCUGCACCCCAUCCUGCGCCGCCAGAAGAUCGACUACGGCAUCUACAUCAUCAACCAGCUCGGGGAGGACACGUUUAACCGGGCGAAGCUGCUGAACGUGGGCUACACGGAGGCUCUGAAGGACGCAGAGUACGACUGCUUCAUCUUCAGUGACGUGGACCUCAUCCCCAUGGAUGACCGUAACCUGUACCACUGCUAUGACCAGCCGCGCCACUUCGCCAUCGCCAUGGACAAGUUCGGCUUCAGGCUACCAUAUGCAGGAUAUUUUGGAGGAGUCUCUGGCUUAAGCAAAAAGCAGUUUCUUAAAAUCAACGGCUUCCCCAACGAGUACUGGGGCUGGGGAGGGGAGGACGACGACAUCUACAACAGGAUUACUCUGAACGGUAUGAAGGUGUCUCGGCCGGAUGUGCGGAUUGGCCGGUACAGGAUGAUAAAGCACGAGAGGGACAAGCACAAUGAGCCAAACCCCCAGAGUGGACAGUGCAGUGGGCAGUAAUGAUGGUGACCAGCGGCUUCUGGCCAGAGUCUGCCAGAAGUCACACCCACAUUUAAUGGAACAAACCCCCCUCACACACAUCCCAAAGGUCAGUGCAGCGUUUAAUUUCAAAUAAAUGUUUGUAGCAACUAUAAUACUAAUAAUAU
rnacentral:lncRNA from 1 species